UUUUACCUGAUUCUCUACAGACUCCAAAAGAGACAAUGUCCCUAGUUUGCCAUGUCUACACUGAUUGGCCACUUACAAAGCUCCUGCCUACAUCCUUAUAGCAAACUAUCAACAUCCAUAUACCAACUUGCCUACAAGUUCUUUCUCUGCAUGAACCCACAUCAAUUUGGAAGAACAAAAACUAAAAAAUCCCAAAGGAAUCAAUGGAAAAAAUGUAAAGGAAGUAAGUUUAGCAGUAUCAUAUCUCAAACUGUGUCAAGGUCAGCUCUACAAACAGCUUGUUGGUCCUUGAACUGGGGUUAAAGAAAUGAUUUUUGGGAUUAUUGGAGGAUCAUCCCCCCAGACUUACAGAUCAGAUUCACAGAUAUCCUCUUCCUGGGCAAUGAUGAAGUUUUAAUGAGGUGGGAUGCACAAUUUAUAGGGAAUAUUAUGUAGCCUAAGAGAUUAGGUAAGCCUUUUUGCAGGAACAGUGAUUGGUAAUGAUUUAUAAGAUGGAAAGAAACAAUGGAUAUAGAUUUCCUUAAUAGGUCUAAACAGUGUUUUCUAUAGGAUAAUAAAUCACAUGUUGACAUAUCUUUGUAUGACCCA
rnacentral:lncRNA from 1 species